rnacentral:tRNA from 1 species
UGGAUUGUAGCUCAGUGGUGGAGUGCAUGCCUAGCAUGUGUGAGACCCUAGGUUCAAUCCCUAGUAUCACAA